CCACCGCAGUUUGUCCUACACACUCCUACACUGUUUUUCUGUGGCCUGUCUUUAUGGUUAACUUUUGAUGCUACCUGUGGUUUUCCUGCAAACAAGUUCUGCAAAAUGAAACUUUAAUAUGUCAAAGUUUGUAGUCAGUCACUAAAGUGUCUUUAUGGACAGUCUCUGUAUUCAGCUUCAUCAUGGCUGGACGCCUGUUGUUCGUCUUCCUCAUGUGUAAGUUAAACCUCUUAUUAUUUCAUUAUUAAUGUAGAUUACAAGUUACAAGUAAGGUACAGUUAUUAAUGAAUUAUUAUUAUUACGUCUAUUUAUCUUAUUAAAACACAUUUCCAACAGAUUCCUUUCACAAGAUUCAAGUUCAAGGUCAGUUUCUGAUCUGUUAUCUUUUAUGUCAAACUAUGUUGUUAUCCCUGUAUAGGAAGUUUAUUACAGUUAUUAAAUUGACUGUUCUUAUACAUGGUUACAGUAUUUCUCUUAAUUUUAGUUAUUUAGUAUCAAAUAUAACGUGUUUCCCCCCAGCUCUUCAUCCACCUAAACUGAGAGUGAAUUCACUGGUGAUCACAGAGACAGACUCAGUCACAUUGAGCUGUGAGGCUCCAUCUUCUGUUUCUGUGUCUCAGUGUUAUUUCUACACUGUUAGUGGAGGACAUGUCAGAGUCCUUCCUUGUAUGAAGAGACUGACAGGAACUGAACUGCUGUUAAUGUCACAUCAGAGUUCACCUGCUGAGGUUGAAGUGAAAUGUUAUUACACUGUAAAGAUUGGGGAUUUAAAUUCUCCAUCUCCACACAGUGACAUAUCCACCAUCACCAUACACAGUGUGUAACUCCUUUUCCCAUUCUUUCAUAUGUUAUCAUAUACUGCUGCAAGAUAACAAACAAUUGUCAUUAUAAAUCAUUUGAGUUAAGUUGAAAUNNNNNNNNNNNNNNNNNNNNGUGGAAAAAGAAUCAGGGAUGAUCCAGAGGCCAACAGUCACUAAGACCACAGGUAGUUUGACCUUUACUCAAACAACUCUUAAAAAUCCAGCAUCUGAUGAUAAAAUAACAGUUUGGCCAGUUACAUCAAGUAAUACUGGUGGUUCCACCUCUACCUCCUUACAACCAGUGAAACCAGCAUCAGAGACAUGGAUAUGGAAGUUAAUAGCUGCGGCUGGUUGUGGUCUAACUGUGGGCGUCAUCGUGCUUUCAGUAAUUCACUGUAAAAAACGAAGAGCUGCAGGUUGGACUGUUUCUACAUCAAGUGACACUGAUAGGUCUGUUGGUAGUUCUGUCUCUACUUUCCUGACAUCAGUGAAACCAGAAAAAGGUUCUGAGGAAGUGAAAGAGCAGCAACAUCAAAAUGAGACUAAUGACACAUACCAUUUGUACUCCACCAUCUCUGAGGAACCAGCUGCAUCUGCCCUGACAACCUGUGAGACUGGAUUUGGCCUGCAGGAUAUGGUGUACAGCACCGUGCAGGCGCACUGA
rnacentral:lncRNA from 15 species